CCUACGGGAGGCAGCAGUGGGGGAUAUUGCACAAUGGGGGAAACCCUGAUGCAGCGACGCCGCGUGGGCGAAGAAGUAUUUCGGUAUGUAAAGCCCUAUCAGCAGGGGAGCAGAAAUGACGGUACCUGAGUAAGAAACACCGGCUAAAUACGUGCCAUCAGCCGCGGUCAUACGUAUGGUCCAAGCGUUAUCCGGAUUUACUGGGUGUAAAGGGAGGGCAGGCGGCACGGCAAGCCUGAUGUGAAAGCCCGGGGCCCAACCGCGGGACUGCAGUUGGAACUACCGGGCUGGAGUGGCGGAGAGGUAGGCGGAAUGCGUAGUGUAGCGGUGAAAUGCGUAGAUAUUAGGAGGAACACCAGUGGCGAAGGCGGCCUACUGGACGGUGACUGACGCUGAGGCACGAAAGCGUGGGGAGCAAACAGGAUUAGAUACCCGAGUAGUC
rnacentral:rRNA from 1 species